CGGCUUACCAAGGCACUGAUGCAUAGCCGAGUUGCGAGACUGAUCGGCCCACAUUGGGACUGAGACACGGCCCAAACUCCUACGGGAGGCAGCAGUAGGGAAUCUUCCACAAUGGACGCAAGUCUGAUGGAGCAACGCCGCUUGAGUGAAGAAGGUUUCGGAUCGUAAAGCUCUGUUGUUGGUGAAGAAGGAUAGAGGUAGUAACUGGCCUUUAUUUGACGGUAAUCAACCAGAAAGUCACGGCUAACUACGUGCCAGCAGCCGCGGUAAUACGUAGGUGGCAGCGUUGUCCGGAUUUAUUGGGCGUAAAGCGAGCGCAGGCGGAAGAAUAAGUCUGAUGUGAAAGCCCUCGGCUUAACCGAGGAAUUGCAUCGGAAACUGUUUUUCCUUGAGUGCAGAAGAGGAAGAGUGGAAUUCCAUGUGUAGCGGUGGAAUGCGUAGAUAUAUGGAAGAACACCAGUGGCGAAGGCGACUCUCUGGUCUGCAACUGACGUGAGGCUCGAAAGCAUGGGUAGCGAACAGGAUUAGAUACCCCUGGUAGUCCAUGCCGUAAACGAUGAGUGCUAAGUGUUGGGAGGUUUCCGCCCCUCAGUGCUGCAGCUAACGCAUUAAGCACUCCGCCUGGGGAGUACGACCGCAAGGUUGAAACUCAAAGGAAUUGACGGGGGCCCGCACAGCGGUGGAGCAUGUGGUUUAAUUCGAAGCAACGCGAAGAACCUUACCAGGUCUUGACAUCUAGUGCCAUCCUAAGAGAUUAGGAGUUCCCUUCGGGGACGCUAGACAGGUGGUGCAUGGCGUCGUCAGCUCGUGUCGUGAGAUGUUGGGUUAAGUCCCGCAACGAGCGCAACCCUUGUUUUUAGUUGCCAGCAUUAAGUUGGGCACUCUAAUGAGACGCCGGUGAUAAACCGGAGGAAGGUGGGGAUGACGUCAAGUCAUCAUGCCCCUUAUGACCUGGGCUACACACGUGCUACAAUGGACAGUACAACGAGAAGCGAGCCUGCGAAGGCAAGCGAAUCUCUGAAAGCUGUUCUCAGUUCGGACUGCAGUCUGCAACUCGACUGCACGAAGCGGAAUCGCUGUAAUCGCGGAUCAGAACGCCGCGGUGAAUACGUUCCCGGGCCUUGUACACACCGCCCGUCACACACAGGGAAGUCUGCAAUGCCCAAAGCCGGUGGCCCUAACCUUCGGGAAGGAGCCGCUAAUGGGCCGGGGCAAGAAGGGUCU
rnacentral:rRNA from 1 species